AAGAGGGAAGGUGACGUGUCACUCUCGUGGUUCCCGUCCCCCAACCUCCGAUAAACACCCGCGAGAAUUCCCCCUUUUUAUAAUGUCAGAUAUUUUUAUUCCGACUCGCACGGGGAGGAUCUCUCUCUCUCGUCUUCCUUCGCCUUCCACGACGUCCCUCUGGCGAUCACGCUCGAUCGGAGCCCGGGAUCAGUGCAGUAUAGAUGAGAAGUCUGAGCUAUAUGAACCAGUAUUAUGGCUCACAUGUGCUAUUGGUUGCUGGCCUACGUGACUCCUAGGAUAAGGCCAUGAUACAGAAGCAGGCUUCAUAUGUUACCAGCAUCACGAUUCAUGACACUUUCUGGAUAUCGUCAUUCUUGUUUAUGAGAGACAAGGGUGUCAUGUUUUCCAAAUCUCCAAUAUACUGAAGAGAUGAAACUCUUGAACAUUCUCAACAAUAAAGCUGUGAAUUUGCUGGGGACCAAUCCAUGUACCAUCCUUUCCUAUUUACUGCCUACUGCUGCCUAGGUGGGACUAGGCAGCGCCUAGUGCCUAGGUGGGACUAGGCAUGCCUAGGCAAAAAAGGUUCCUUUUCUGUCAUGAUUGCCAUUACAGCCACUUUCCCAAUACAUUAGGUUUGAUGGCUUUGGCAUGCUUGUUGCAGGAGUUAGAAGUAGUAGUUGUAAACAGGUACAUACCAUGGUUUCUGCUGUUGAAGUCGUAUCUUGUUGAUUUUCUUCUCUCGAUUUGUUGUAUCGAUCGAUUAUUCCUUUCAUACUGGUAAACAUAAAGGAUAACCGCACAUUAUAAAUUUGCUUCCCACCCUAACAGUUCUUCAUUUCAUAUAAAUAAGGAGCUGAAGAAGUAAUUUUCAAGCAUCAGUGGAAAUAUUGGACAAACAAGACUAUUUUUAGUAUUUCACCUGUUUCCACGCAAAAGAAUUACAAAACCAUAUUGUGAUAUGUUUUCUGAUGCUUUGUGAUGACCUAAUUGCUAUCUAUGUGUGGAGCAUGUUUUCAUCGUGCAUCAUUGAAACUGAAAGCAAGCAUCCUACUAAUCUAGUCAAUCAGAGAAAUUAGAGCAAAUUUCUGGUAUUUUUUAUGGCUGUAGGUUAUUGUACAAAUAUGUCUAAGUUCAUUUAUGUAUUGUUUCUUAUGUAAAGUUUGAAACUUUCGAAGGUUCUGUUUCAAGAAUAAGUUUCUAAUUUACCUUUUUGUUUUAUUCUCAGUAAGUUCACACACUACAUAACACAUACAGGGAUUUUUUUUGUAGUUGCAAGUUAUGUGAAGUAUGAAUCUUCAAUUCUUCAGGCAGAAAGUUUCAUGAAGCAUGCUUACUUUGCGGAGGAUCAUGAGGUUGGUGCUGUUGUCAAGUGAAGUGGCUGGUUGAUAUUCUAGUCACUGUUGUAGGCAGAGUUAAGAGAUCGUGACAAUUUGUCAUUAGGUCUGUUAAGGUUACUGGCUAUAGGCACGAGGAAGGAUACAGGCAGGAAAACUCUUUCCAAAGGAUGAAGUGAUGAAUGGAAAUUUUGAAAGCAUCCUAUUAAAGUAAUGUACUAUGUUUUCUACGAUGAUUGGCAUAUUGUGAAAUAGUGGACAGUGAAUCUUCUCUUCUAACAUGGAUUUUCGGAACUGCCCCCAUGACCGCUUGUGUAAGUUCAGCCUGAAGCCAAUAGUAGAAACACUACAGAUCACGAACAAAUUGAAGAUCACCCGCAACAUGACACACACACACACAUGGUACUUGAAGGUCAUCUUGUGAACUGCUGUGCAUCCACCUCUGAAAGUUCUUGGUAAUUCAGAAUUCAUGAGUCAGAAAUGCAUCAUCACGCAGAGCGCUUUGCUCAUGGCGGACAAAGCACAAUGCGAAACGACAUCAUGCUUUGUGAGGGCAUUGUGUAAAUUAUUAUUAUUUUUUUUUAGAAUCCUCUUUUGUUUUAUCCAUAUAAAUUCUGAUUGCCAAUUCAUGUAGGGGGUGUUUGAUGGUCUUGGAUUUUGAUUUUAGGAAUUAAAAUUGUAGAAUCAAAAUUCCACUUCAAACUUUAAUUCAAAUGAAAAUUCUAGCUUUA